rnacentral:rRNA from 1 species
GUGGGGAAUAUUGCACAAUGGGGGAAACCCUGAUGCAGCGACGCCGCGUGAGUGAAGAAGUAUUUCGGUAUGUAAAGCUCUAUCAGCAGGGAAGAAAAUGACGGUACCUGACUAAGAAGCCCCGGCUAACUACGUGCCAGCAGCCGCGGUAAUACGUAGGGGGCAAGCGUUAUCCGGAAUUACUGGGUGUAAAGGGUGCGUAGGUGGUAUGGCAAGUCAGAAGUGAAAACCCAGGGCUUAACUCUGGGACUGCUUUUGAAACUGUCAGACUAGAGUGCAGGAGAGGUAAGCGGAAUUCCUAGUGUAGCGGUGAAAUGCGUAGAUAUUAGGAGGAACAUCAGUGGCGAAGGCGGCUUACUGGACUGAAACUGACACUGAGGCACGAAAGCGUGGGGAGCAAACAGGAUUAGAAACCCGGGUAGUCC